AUAGCUGGUUGCAUUAACAAAAAGUUAGUGUAAGAUCGACUCUGUCGAAUAAAAUUCUAGAUAGAAUUAUGAUAAUGACAUUAUCUAUCUAUGUGUCUUGACCAAAUUACGUGCCAGCAGUCGCGGUAAUACGUAAAAGACUAGUGUUAUUCAUCUUUAAUAGGUUUAAAGGGUACUUAGACGGUAAAUAAAGCCCGAAUAGGGAACUAAUAAACUAGAGUUUGAUGUAAGGAAGCAUGAAAGUACUGUUGGUGUAGAGAUAAAAUUCUAUCAUACCAAACAUGGCACAGGUUUAGGCGAAAGCAUCUUCUUAUGUAAUAACUGACGUUGAAGGACGAAGGCUUUGUGUCUCGAACAGGAUUAGAUACCCCAGUAGUCUAAGCAGACAAUGAUGAAUGUCAUAGAUUAGAUUUAAUUAAAUUUAUUCUAUAAAUGAAAGUGUAAGCAUUCCACCUCAAGAGUAAUUUGGCAACAUUGGAACUGAAAUCAUUAGACCGUUUCUGAAACCAGUAGUGAAGUAUGUUGUUUAAUUAGAAGAUACGCAAAAAACCUUACCACAAUUUGAAUUAGUAAUAUGUUUUCACAAGCGUUGCACGGCUGUCUACAGUUAAUGUCGUGAGAUUUUGGUUAGUUCCAUUAAAUUAACGCAAACCCUUACUUUAUUU
rnacentral:rRNA from 1 species